AUGACUCUCUCUCUCUCUCCCAACACCUAUACAUACCUGCAUACACAUGUAUAUAUAUAUAUAUAUAUAUAUAUAUAUACAUGUGUAUGCAGGUAUGUAUAGGUGUUGGGAGAGAGAGAGAGAGUCAU
rfam:Octopus bimaculoides Scaffold3391_contig_15, whole genome shotgun sequence.